GGGCUCGUUAGCUCAGUUGGUAGAGCAGUUGACUUUUAAUCAAUUGGUCGCAGGUUCGAAUCCUGCACGACCCACCA
rnacentral:tRNA from 1 species